UCAAAUCUGAAUUUUAUCGUUCUUCUUUCCUCAUGGGCAGGAAGCACACCAACAACAUGUGUUGCGAGAUUCCACCAUAUUUUUUGCAAUUGAUUUGCCUUUCGAAGGAUUCCCUUCAGCUUCCAGGUGGACAAUUGAUCGGAAGAUAAUUUCAAUUUGUCCGACCAGUAGACGGGUGGUGUGCUCAUCUUGUGUGACAACACUGCAGA
rnacentral:lncRNA from 1 species